rnacentral:miRNA from 1 species
UGGCGGCAGUCAGGAUACCUGU